CCGCUGCGCCGCGGUCCCCUGUCCCCGCCCCCUGCCCCGGGCCGCCGCCGGAGCGCGGGGAGCCGCCGCGAGCCCUUUAAGGGCCGAGAGGUGCGCGGUCUCUUUAAGGCAGGUCCUGGUGGUUUCUGUUUUCCGAAGGAAGUGACGGGGGGUGGGAUUGAAUGAAAAGUGCAAAACAGAGUCUCGCCGCGCCGGAGUCGGGGGCCGCGGCAGUCGCGGCGCUGGGCCGGUGGGCGGGCGGGGGGGGGACCCCGGGAGCGCCGCGUCCGCCUCGGAGCCGCCGGGGGGGCGCGCGGCGGAGCGCAGUCCACGUGCGUCCGCGCCACGUCGCGGGCCCCCCGCGCCUGAGCCCCCCGGGGAGCCGCUGCCCCGCGCGCGCCCCGAACUAGCCAGCAACUUCGCGCGAAGUUUGGCAGCGCCCCUCUCGGCUCGCACGCCGCGCGCCGGGCCCGCGGAGGGCGGCGGCGGCCCCCGGGGAUGCGCCCGCCCGGCCGCCGCGGGGUCCCCACGGCGCCCCCCGCGCUGCUGCUGCUGCUGCUGCUGCCGCCGCUGCUCGUGCCGCUGCUGGGGGCGCCGCGCGGCGUGGGCGCGGGGCCGGGCGCGCCGGCCGAGCUGCGGGUCCGCGUGCGGUUGCCCGACGGCCAGGUCACCGAGGAGAGCCUGCAGGCGGACAGCGACGCCGACAGCAUCAGCCUCGAGCUGCGCAAGCCCGACGGCACCCUCGUCUCCUUCACCGCCGACUUCAAGAAGGACGUGAAGAUCUUCCGAGCCCUGAUCCUGGGGGAGCUGGAGAAGGGGCAGAGUCAGUUCCAGGCACUCUGCUUUGUCACCCGGCUGCACCACAAUGAGAUCAUCCCCAGCGAGGCCAUGGCCAAGCUUCGACAGAAGAACCCACGGGCAGUGCGGCAGGCUGAGGAGGUGCGGGGCCUAGAGCACCUGCACAUGGACAUCGCCGUCAACUUCAGCCAGGGGGGCCUGCUGAGCCCCCAUCUCCGCAACGUGUGUGCCGAGGCCGUGGAUACCAUCUACACCCGCCGGGAGGACGUCCGCUUCUGGCUGGAGCAAGGUGUGGACAGCUCCGUGUUUGAGGCUCUGCCGGAGGCCUCGGAGCAGGUGCACCUGUCCCGCUGCGGGCAGGUGGGGGAUGGCGGGAAGCCCUGUGUCUGCCGCUACGGCCUGAGCCUGGCCUGGUACCCCUGCAUGCUCAAGUACUGCCACAGCCGUGACCGGCCGACCCCCUACAAGUGCGGCAUCCGCAGCUGCCAGAAAAGCUACAGCUUCGACUUCUAUGUGCCCCAGCGGCAGCUGUGUCUCUGGGAUGAGGACCCCUAGCUGGGCUGCGGUGAAAGGGGGCCGUCUCUGAGUUCGCUGCUCUGGGUCCACCGCCCUUCCCCCAGCCACUGGAGGGGGUGGCCGCCCCCCACUGAGGCCGUAGCUCCCUUCUCUUCCCUUGAUCCCGGAGCCUCUGGCCCCAUCACUCAAGACUGUGAAAAGGGGUGUGGCAUGGCAGGGGUUAACUCAUGAAGGCAGCCCCCACUCCCACCCUGUGCCUCCCUUGGGGACAGAGAGAAGGGGGUUCUCCAGAUGUGUCCCCCUCCCCUUCAUCUCCCCUGAAGUGUUCUCUUUCAAGCAAACAAAAUGUGAUGGCCCGUGAUUCUGUUGAACUCUUUGAAGGUUUAGACCCUAAAAGGUGUCUGUGCCUGUUACACCGACCUCCCCCCCGGCCCCCCCCCCCACACACACACGCACCCCCACUCCCCCAUCUGGAAGGAGCUGGCCCCUCUGCACCAUCAAAUGCCCAACGAGGAGGGGACCACGUCCCAGCGAGGGGGCCGUCGGGGCCCAUUGCCAUAGCCCCUCCACCAGAUCACAGUGCAUUCUGCUGAUUGCUGUCGUCCCGACACGGGGGCAGCUCGUCUCAGAGUUCUGAAAGAACUCUUGGCCAAUGCUGCCACCUGGUGGCAGGAGGGGCGUUCGCUCUGCCGGGGACCAGUCUCGACACAUCGCUAAGGCACCUGCUGUGUGCUCAUUCGCUGCGCAGCAGGGAGUGGAUGGACCCGGGACGUAUUAGGGAAGGAUAAGACAAAACUUCUGCACUUAAGAAGAAGAGACAUAGAUGAGCAAGUCAGACGGUAAUAGUAUAAAUAGAUUAAGGCAAGCAAUAAGGCAAAAACUCCGGAACCAAACUGCCAGGGUCCAAAUCCUGGCGUGGCUUAUUUCCUGUGCAAUCUUGGGUCAAGUCACUUUACCUUCCUGUGCCUCAGCGCUCUCCGCUAUAAAAUGGGCUUAACGGUGAGACUUACAUGGGUGUUCAUACAUCUGAAGUGCCCAGCACAAUAGUGUUCAUUUUAUUCGCUAUUAUUAAUAUCGUUACUGUUAGUGAGAAGAGCAGGUAUUUCCUCACCUGUGCACCUGAGACGGCUAAGCCAGACAUCCUGAAGGUCUCUGUGCUUCCAAAGUACCUUCCAGUUUGAAGAGACUGUAAUAGGAAGUGCCGAGCCGGGUGUUGGAGAACUUUCGGGAAGGAGGGAUGGCGCAGGUUGAAUUUAUCGAGGGAGGUCUCCUGGACCAGAUGGGAUACGGCUUGAAGCUGGAGGAUGGUAGGCAUUUGGCAAGGUGGAGGAGACUGAGCACAGGGCAGAGACAGGAGUGCUCCAGGGGUCCCACAGGGGACCGGAAUCCUUAGGAAGGAGGAGACGGGAGAGUCAAGUCCUUCCUUGUCCACCUUGGAAAGGGAAACAGGCUUUCAGGAUGUCCCCGUCCCCUUGAAGUCUCCCCAGAACAGGCUGCUGCCACCCCUUGAAGCUGUAUAGACCAGAGGGUUGUGGUGGGAGCCAGGCUUGCUCGGCCAGGGUCAAGUCAGAGAUAGGUGGUGAGACCUCCUUUUCAGGUAGGCAUGCCUCUUUCUGAACCUGUUUUCGAGGACCAGCUUUAGCUGUCCUUUGGUGGUGGGGGGAGGGGGGUGGCGGUUAGGGAGGGAGGUGUUCCUCCCCAGGCCCUUUCCUCCUUCCCCUGCUGCCCAAUCCCAGCCCUCAGUCCUGAGCCCCAAUCCCAGCUCUGGGUGGGGGAGGGGAUUACUUGGAGAAGGCACCUCCCACUUCCCCACCCUGUCUGUGUGCCUUUUUUUACUGGAGGUGGGGUCCCAGGUCAUAUAUGCCUUUUCACUCACAAGUGGCCAAAAGAAUGCUGUUUUUUUUAAAGAGUGCUUUUUUUUUAAAUGUAA